GCCAAAAUAGUUUAAAGAAAACCUUGAAUUGUGGUUUCAAUAAUGCAGCUUAUUUGCUUUUGGCC
rnacentral:tRNA from 1 species